GCUGGCGGCGUGCCUAACACAUGCAAGUCGAACGGGGUAAUCCUUCGGGGUUACUUAGUGGCGAACGGGUGAGUAACGCGUGAGAAACCUGCCUUUCAGUGGGGGACAACAGUUGGAAACGACUGCUAAUACCGCAUAAUGUACACGGACCGCAUGAUCUGUGUACCAAAGCUUUAUGUGCUGAAAGAUGGUCUCGCGUCUGAUUAGCUAGUUGGUGAGGUAACGGCUCACCAAGGCGACGAUCAGUAGCCGGUCUGAGAGGAUGAACGGCCACAUUGGGACUGAGAUACGGCCCAGACUCCUACGGGAGGCAGCAGUGGGGAAUAUUGGGCAAUGGGGGAAACCCUGACCCAGCAACGCCGCGUGAAGGAAGAAGGCCUUCGGGUUGUAAACUUCUUUUAGCAGGGACGAAGAACGUGACGGUACCUGCAGAAAAAGCAACGGCUAACUACGUGCCAGCAGCCGCGGUAAUACGUAGGUUGCAAGCGUUGUCCGGAUUUACUGGGUGUAAAGGGCGUGUAGGCGGAGAUGCAAGUUGGGAGUGAAAUCCCGGGGCUCAACCCCGGAACUGCUUUCGAAACUGCAUCCCUUGAGUAUCGGAGAGGCAAGCGGAAUUCCUAGUGUAGCGGUGAAAUGCGUAGAUAUUAGGAGGAACACCAGUGGCGAAGGCGGCUUGCUGGACGACAACUGACGCUGAGGCGCGAAAGCGUGGGGAGCAAACAGGAUUAGAUACCCUGGUAGUCCACGCUGUAAACGAUGAAUACUAGGUGUGGGAGGACUGACCCCUUCCUGCCGCAGUUAACACAAUAAGUAUUCCACCUGGGGAGUACGACCGCAAGGUUGAAACUCAAAUGAAUUGACGG
rnacentral:rRNA from 1 species